rnacentral:misc_RNA from 1 species
UGGAGAUGGGGGGAGGAGAGAACAUGGUUUUUAUUUGACUUUCAAUAUAGAUAGAAAUCAUGACUCUAAGAGAACUCCAAAUGUAUUGUAGAAAAGCGUACUUAUGAUGGUGGUGGUAAUAAGUUUUGUUCAAGAAGUACUGUGGAGGCAAUACAUAAUCAAGCUGCAUUAUCUCUAAAGCAUUAUAACAGGGUGUAUCAGUAUCAAAGGGCAACAAGCCCAUUCCCUGACAAACCUUAAAAGUGAAUUGCCCCGAGUCCCUAACUGGAUCUAAACACGAUAGGUUAAUUCAAUUAUCUACAGUAAUUUCAAGUAUAUAAAUAUAAACUAUAUUUUGAUGCUCCAAUAUUACCAAACUAACUAUUCACUAUGUGAGUUACCUAAAGAAAACAAUCGCAAAUGACAUAAAAGUGUGUUGUUGACUUCUUGUUCCCUAGAUACAUCAAAUAAGGCAUUGAUAUGGGCACUUCAAUAGUCUUUCCUCGAGAAAAGGAAAAAUGAACUACGGAAUUGUGCAACUUAGAAAUAGCAAUUCUGUUUAGUGCAAUAAAGUCGAAGACAAUAAAAAGUGUUUGAACACGUAAUCACAUUGUAUGGACAGAAGCUCUAUGAUGCAUAUACUAAUGGAAGAGCCUCAUUAAGACUAAAGGCAUAGAACCUCUUACAAAACUAUGUUCUCCCCAAGAUGUUCUUGAGCCAAUUUGACCAGGUGAUGAAGAUAAGCUUGGUCAUCCCCGUAUGAACCAAAUUCAUUUUCAAU